GGGUGGGUAGGUUAUUUUCAAAGUAAUCCGUCUCAGAGAGCUCCUCUCCAUUUUGAUCCAACUCGGCUAUCCGGUUUGGAUUGGAACAAUGGUCUCAGAUCAUGGUAUGGUUCAGUUGUCGGCUGAAGAUGGAUCUUCAUGGUAUGGUUAUCAUGACGAAGUGAAUGAAGCAUCUGAUAUGAGCAAGGAAUGGCAGAGGAGACAUGAUUAAUAUAUAACUCCAUGGGUCAUCGUAUUGGUCAUGUUCAAAAGCCAAGUAUAAUCAGCUGUUCGAUUUCAGGAAGAACAGGAGAGGGCCCUGAAAGCAGGAGCUCUGAAGAAAGCAAAGAGAAGUGCUGAGAAGUCUAAGAAGGGGCCUCAGAGACAAAGGUAGCUAAACAACCUGAUUUGAAGGCAUUAACCAAGGAAACUGUACCCGUUACCACUGUCUCCUCUAUAAGCUUCAGAUGCCAGUGUUUUUAUUACAUGUCUAAUAAGGCACUUUGAAGAUAAUCUAUUCUCAUGGGCAAUUUUAAGCAAUCAGUGUCAAUGGUUGUGAUAAAACUCUUCAUUGAGCAUUUGCUAUCUACUUUGUACAUCAUUGUUGAUUCUCUUGGGAGCUAGUGAUACUGUUCAGUUAAUAAGGAUUAAGGAGUCGUUGUAGUUGCUCUGGGUACAUCUAAAUGUUUAACUUCAAUUUGGACACCUUUCUCACAAGUCCCCUUCUAGCUUUAACUUUAUUUACUGGGGCAGUGCUCUGAUUCCAGUGUAAUAUGGCCUUCAAGCUUAUCUUUGAUGGUCAUCUUGUUCAUUUAUCCUACCUUUUAUAGAUCUAAUUUAUAUAUGAUGGUUUCAGUAGUCAUGUUUACAUUCGUCUGAUGUACUCUGCACUGAUGAUUUUGGCAGAAGCAAGGUGGAAAAGACGUUUGUUUCGUUCUAAAAGAUUUGUAAGCAUUCCAGGUUUGUGGCUCUCACUUCUUUAACAUUCCCUGUGUUUACAUUGACUGAAAGACAUUCUGGUGCUGGUUUGAUUUGCUUAUGAGAUUGUAGAAUUUCAAUUUUACACGCAGUUUGUACCUAAUCUGAACACUUUUUAUCUAUGGGCGCUGAAGUUGCUCCGGAUUACAGGUACUGAUGUGGGCAUCAGUUCUAUUCUCACACUGAAAUGGUUGUCGUUGGUUUCAAGCCACUGGGUGAACGGGAUUGAUUAUAUGGGCCAGUCCUACAAAGUGGUAAUGCAUAUAUCUACCUCUUUCAGCCAGAAUGCUCAAGCACAAACAGUUAUUGAUGAAGCUUAAUUGAUAUCUAUUUGAGGGGCUGUUUUUACCGAGUAUAUAUCGAUUAUUUUCUUAUGUUUUUCUAGUUUGGUAGUCUAAACCAACAGGUGUUGAUUGUUGUUUUCUGGGCUCUUUUGGUGGUCUUGAUUAAUUU